rnacentral:rRNA from 1 species
AUUGAACGCUGGCGGCAUGCCUUACACAUGCAAGUCGAACGGCGGCGGGGACUUCGGUCCGCCGGCGAGUGGCGAACGGGUGAGUAAUGUAUCGGAACGUACCAUUCAGUGGGGGAUAACUAUCCGAAAGGAUAGCUAAUACCGCAUAUUCUGUGAGCAGGAAAGCAGGGGAUCGCAAGACCUUGCGCUGAUUGAGCGGCCGAUAUCAGAUUAGCUAGUUGGUGAGGUAACGGCUCACCAAGGCUACGAUCUGUAGCGGGUCUGAGAGGAUGAUCCGCCACACUGGGACUGGGACACGGCCCAGACUCCUACGGGAGGCAGCAGUGGGGAAUUUUGGACAAUGGGCGCAAGCCUGAUCCAGCCAUGCCGCGUGAGUGAAGAAGGCCUUCGGGUUGUAAAGCUCUUUCGGCCGGGAAGAAAUCGCAUCAGCUAAUACCUGGUGUGGAUGACGGUACCGGAAUAAGAAGCACCGGCUAACUACGUGCCAGCCGCCGCCGUAAUAC